GUGCUAUUCCCUUGGCUGCAUUCCAGUGCAAUAAAAUGAAAGCUGCCAAGCGAAGGGC
rnacentral:pre_miRNA from 1 species